rnacentral:rRNA from 1 species
UACAGAGGUGGCAAGCGUUGUUCGGAAUUACUGGGCGUAAAGGGCGCGUAGGCGGCCGCCUAAGUCAGACGUGAAAUCCCCAAGCUUAACUUGGGAACUGCGUCUGAUACUGGGUGGCUUGAGUUCGGGAGAGGAAUGUGGAAUUCCAGGUGUAGCGGUGGAAUGCGUAGAGAUCGGGAAGAACAUCGGUGGCGAAGGCGGCGACCUGGGUAGAUACUGACGCUGAGGUGCGAAAGCGUGGGGAGCAAACAGG